GCACGGGGACGGAAUGCGGAGGAGAAGGGAGCGGGGGUAACGACCGGGUGUCACCGCGUGCGGGCCCUCAGCAGGGCUCGGCGGCUCCCAAGGCACGGCGUGCAAACGGAGCGGGCUCGGGAGCCCGCGUGAAAAGAAAGGCUGCCAUUGAGAGCCGAUGUCAGGAGCUGCGAAACUUUCGUCCCCGUGGAUGAAGUGGCGGGUUCGUCAGAGCCGUCUGCGCGCCGAGGGGUAAUGAAAGAGGAAAGAGCGGCGCUUGUAGCGUGGUGGAUGGAUGAAAAUAGGCCGCGGCGAGACUGAAAAUAUGACGAAGGUGGCACGCCGCAGUGCUAAUUAAGCGUCUUAAUUGGGAAAAUAAUAACCCCCUCACGGACGUGCAUUGGGUCUGCUCAUUCCUCAGCUGUGUGAGCGCACACAGGUGCAAGGAAAGUCAGUAUUAUGUAAGAUGCCAGAGUAAGUCAGACCGUGUCAUCCUGAGGGUUUUCCCUUUACUCACAGCCUCGUAGCGAGGUGUGCCAUCUAACCAGGCUCACACUCCCACUUCUGUCCAUGCAGAGCCUUUGCUGCAUGCUCCCUGCUGACAAGAUGAUCCCACAGCUGGGUGUGGGCAUUCCAGAGAAUUAAGCCUGUGUAUGAAAGCACAUCUCAUAGAAACCAUGAGCACGUGCCAAGCCAACCAGAUUCUGGUCUCCGUUUGGCAAGUGUUUCAGAAACAGCUGGUACAUGACCAUAUGCUGUGCUGGCACCACUGUGAGCUUAUUUCCCACUUGUCCUCCUGGUCAAUCAGAGCCGCUCCAUGUGCUGAAGGACAGCUGGUCCCCUGGCAUGUGAAGCAGUUAAUGAACUUUUCCUCUGAAAAAUCAUGGGGAUAGACAAUGCUAAUUCCAAUCAGUGUUUUUUGUUUUUUUUUUUUUUUUUAACUUUUUGAAUUGAUACCAAAGGUGAAGGUUCUCAAAAGGAAUAUUGUGUGAAAAUCUACACACAGCAUGAACAACUAGGUGGGUGUGUGCUGUAGGUAACUACACUUGUUUGGAAAAUCAAAACCAGAUGAUCUGUGCUGAAAAGAAUGCUGAACAGACACGGAGUGACUGAUAGAUCUGUGCCUUUAGCUGUCAGCCUCAGCGAGUACCACUGUUUCCCUUUUUCAUUCUGACCCCUGCUGGAUAGGGUCUCCAAUGAAUUUCUUAGAAAAUUUCACCAUGUAAGAUUUUCUCCUAUUCAGUUGCAUAUUAAAGAAGGAAUUGCAGAGCAGUUCAGCAGCAUGGUAUGCGGGGCUUAUAAGCAUUUACUCUCAGACAUGCAUCAUACUUCCCUGCAAUUGGUCAGUUAGUAAUAUUCCCUAAGAUUUCCUGCUAGGUGCAAUAGAAGUCUGAAUUUCCUUGAGUAGGCCUUCCAUUUCGCUUAACUUUGUAAUUCCUGAGAACCAAUCAGUUGACAGUUCCCUAUUGUUCACACUUCAUUGACAUUUCAUGUAAAAUACUUGAUAGAAACAAUCUGCCCGUUCAGCAUUUUAGAAAUGGAGAUGGAGCAACAUCCAUGAGGGAGCAAAUGUGAUUUAAGAAAAAAAAAAAAAAUCAACUAAGUGCUCAGGAUCUAAAUCCAAAGCAUAUACAUACAUGCAUAGGUAAUUUUAAAAUCCAGAAAGUGGAUCAUCAAAAGUAAUGCAACACAAGGAAUGUCCAACACAUAAAUAGUGUAUUUUAUUGGCUAUCGUGAUGUACUGCGCAUAAUUACCUUUUUGAAAUUACUUUUCUUAAUUGCAUGAAGGAUUGCAUAACUUUUUUAGUACUCUUCACAGUCAUUUCAGGUUUUGAAUGAAGAGCCAUGCAAAACAUUCACACCUCCCAGAAGUAAUAACUAAAUUCAAAUCAC
rnacentral:lncRNA from 1 species